rnacentral:rRNA from 1 species
AUAGAGGAAGUAAAAGUCGUAACAAGGUCUCCGUUGGUGAACCAGCGGAGGGAUCAUUACCGAGUUUACAACUCCCAAACCCCUGUGAACAUACCAUUUGUUGCCUCGGCGGUGCCUGCUUCGGCAGCCCGCCAGAGGACCCAAACCCUUGAUUUUAUACAGUAUCUUCUGAGUAAAUGAUUAAAUAAAUCAAAACUUUCAACAACGGAUCUCUUGGUUCUGGCAUCGAUGAAGAACGCAGCGAAAUGCGAUAAGUAAUGUGAAUUGCAGAAUUCAGUGAAUCAUCGAAUCUUUGAACGCACAUUGCGCCCGCCAGUAUUCUGGCGGGCAUGCCUGUUCGAGCGUCAUUUCAACCCUCAAGCCCCCGGGCUUGGUGUUGGAGAUCGGCGUGCCCCCCGGGGCGCGCCGGCUCCCAAAUAUAGUGGCGGUCUCGCUGUAGCUUCCUCUGCGUAGUAGCACACCUCGCACUGGAAAACAGCGUGGCCACGCCGUUAAACCCCCCACUUCUGAAAGGUUGACCUCGGAUCAGGUAGGAAUACCCGCUGAACUUAAGCAUAUCAAUAGG